rnacentral:rRNA from 1 species
AUGAAUUUCACUCUGAAGGCCCCUGGUCCAGGGUAUACCUGUGGACCUGCAACCAAGUUAGAUGAACCUACAAAGUUCACUACACCAGAUGGAAGGAGGAAAACUCAAGCCCACAUGACAUGGACUGUGACUUGUACCUACUCACAGUUUCGCGCUCUGAGGUAUCCCACGUGUUGUUUAUCUCUCAGCGUGUUUUACAGCGACACACUUGUUACCUGCCCCAAAUGCUCAUGUGGCUGCCAAGAUAACAGCACAAAACCAGGAAUCUGUGUAGAGGGAAACUCACCUUAUCUUGGUUCUGUCAUGAAUGGUCAAGACAAGAACGGCUUGGCACCUCUGGUCCAAUGCACUACUCAUAUGUGCCCAAUAAGAGUUCAUUGGCAUGUGAAGGCUAACUACAAGGAGUACUUGAGAGUAAAGAUCACAGUGACAAACUUCAACUACGGGAUGAAUUACUCGCAGUGGAACCUAGUAGCUCAGCACCCUAAUGUCAACAGCUUGACUAGCAUUACCAGCUUCAACUACACAGCUCUGAACCCUUAUGGACUUAUGAAUGACACCGCUCUGUUAUGGGGCAUCAGGCACUACAAUGAUUAUCUCUUGACUGCUGGACCUGAUGGAUAUGUUCAGUCUGAGCUACUAUUCCGGAAGGACCCGUCAACAUUCACCUUGCGGGCAGGAUGGGCCUUUCCAAGAAGAGUGUACUUCAAUGGCGACAAGUGUGUGACGCCGCCUCCAGAUGCGUACCCGUGGCUGCCAAACGCAUCCACGAAAUCAACCGUAUCAGUUAUCGUCCCAUUGGUUCUUUGGAUGCUUGCUAAUCCCUACUUCUGA